rnacentral:rRNA from 1 species
AACGAACGCUGGCGGCAUGCCUAACACAUGCAAGUCGAACGAAGGCUUCGGCCUUAGUGGCGCACGGGUGCGUAACGCGUGGGAAUCUGCCCCUCGGUUCGGAAUAACAGUUAGAAAUGACUGCUAAUACCGGAUGACGACUUCGGUCCAAAGAUUUAUCGCCGAGGGAUGAGCCCGCGUAGGAUUAGGUAGUUGGUGGGGUAAAGGCCUACCAAGCCGACGAUCCUUAGCUGGUCUGAGAGGAUGAUCAGCCACACUGGGACUGAGACACGGCCCAGACUCCUACGGGAGGCAGCAGUGGGGAAUAUUGGACAAUGGGCGAAAGCCUGAUCCAGCAAUGCCGCGUGAGUGAUGAAGGCCUUAGGGUUGUAAAGCUCUUUUACCCGGGAUGAUAAUGACAGUACCGGGAGAAUAAGCCCCGGCUAACUCCGUGCCAGCAGCCGCCGUAAAAC